rnacentral:lncRNA from 1 species
ACAGUCCCCCAGCGCCGGACGCGCCGCGCCCUGGCGGCUCUAGGGACCCCCCCCGCGCCUGCACUUAGCCCCGCGCCCGAGUCCACAGACAAACGAAUUUAAAGGAGCAACCGAGGAGGCACCUGCGAAAGAAAGCCCACACACAGGUGAAUUUAAAGGAGCAGCCCUGGUGUCACCUAUCAGUAAAAGACUAUUUGGAGUUUUCCUCGUCUUACUGGAUGUCACUCUCGUCCUUGCCGACCUAAUUUUCACUGACAGCAAACUUUAUAUUCCUUUGGAGUAUCGUUCUAUUUCUCUAGCUAUUGCCUUAUUUUUUCUCAUGGAUGUUCUUCUUCGAGUAUUUGUAGAAGGAGACUGUACUGGUCAGAGAAAGACAUCAGCAGGAGAGCCAGAGAUUCCUCCUCCUCUCCAUCAUCACCAUCACCAUUAUUCUCAUCACCAUCACCGUCACCGUCAUCAUCAUCAUCACCAUCAUGGACUUCAAAGAAGUUCAAAGAAUUUCCUCCUCUGGCCAGAGUGAAUCCUGUUCUGUGGAAGCAGGAGGCUGGGUGGGAAGCCCUGUGGAGGCUCCACCCGUGUUUGGGUUCUGGGCAGGGAUCUGGGGACAGGGGAGGCCUAAUGCUUAUUGCAGAAAUUCUCUGCCUGGGAAGUCAGGAUCACUCCUUGGAGGAGGCAGCCUGUCCUCUGAGCUUUCAGGAAAGGAACUGGUUGUGUGGUUCCCUGUAAGCUCUGGAGAUGGGGCGGGCAGUAGGGGGAGGAGCACAGCAGUGUGGAUGUAUUAAUACUUAGUGCUGGCCGGGUGCGGUGGCUUACGCCUGUAAUUCCAGCAGUUUAGGAGGCCAAGGCAGGCAGAUCACCUGAGGUCAGGAGUUCAACACCAGCUGAGGCAGGAGAAUCGCUUGAACCCAGGAAGCAGAGGUUGCAGUGAGCCAAGAUCACGACAUUGCACUCCAGCCCUCCAGCCCAGGCAACAA